rnacentral:tRNA from 1 species
GCCGGGGUGGCGAAACUGGUAUACGCGCAGGACUUAAAAUCCUGUGUCCCGUAAAGCGGGACGUGUGGGUUCGACCCCCACCCUCGGCA